GCUCCGGUGACUUAAGUGGUUAGAGUGUCCGCCUCGGAUGAAGGAGGUCGCGGGUUCGAGUCCCAGCCGAGUCA